GCCUGGGUGGCUCAGUCGGUUGAGCAUCUGACUUUGGCUCAGGUCAUGAUCUUGCAGUUUGUGAGUUCGAGCCCCACGUUGGGCU
rnacentral:tRNA from 1 species